GCAAAGUUCUUGCUGUAAGUCCAUAUUGCCCGAAAGAUGGUCUGGAACCUCACAGGUAGCUGGAAAUGGAAAGUCAAGAGAUUGCAGCUUCGGCAGCCAUCGAAGGACCAGUGUGGUGGGGAGCCCAGACGACAGGUCAGCUGAGAAUAGCUUGUUGAGAAGACAAGGCAGGAAUUUGUUCCCCGGUUUCAAAGAUGAAGAAAUCAAGGCCCUGUGAGAAGGAAGUGGCUCUCCC